AUAGAUUGUGAAUGCGUAGAUCCAUUGCGACUGGGUUUGCGUCGAUAGCGAAGAGGUUUCUUCAUCAUAGGCAUCGUCUGGAGAUUGGUAAUCCUGGAGCUCCUCCUUCCUUUAGCCUUUGGGGUUUCUGUUUCUGGGUACGAGCUUUUUCUGAUUACCGAGACAAUUUGAGAAAUGGUCUUCACAAUCUUCAGUUUUAUGAAGCUCUCGAUUUAUUCACUCGCAUGGUUCACUCUCGUCCUCUUCCCUCCAUCGUCGAUUUCACUAGAUUAUUGAGUGUUAUUGCCAAGAUGAAGAGGUAUGACGUUGUGAUCUCUCUUUUCGAGCAAAUGCAAAUGCUUGGAAUUUCACCUGUUCUGUACACCUGCAACAUCGUGAUGAAUUGUUUGUGCCAAUCCUCUCAGCCUCCUUGUCUUGCUUCGUCUUUUAUUGGGAAGAUGAUGAAACUUGGUUUUGAGCCUGAUAUAGUCACCUUUACUUCUCUGCUCAAUGGUUUCUGUCAUAGGAAUAGCAUCGAUGAUGCCAUAGCUUUGUUUGAUCAGAUUGUGGAAAUGGGAUAUAGACCUAACGUUGUGACAUACACCACGCUGAUUCACUGUCUUUGUAAAAACAGACAUGUGAAUCACGCGUUAGACCUUUUCAACCAAAUGCAAACCAAUGGUGUUAGACCAAAUGUUGUUACUUACAACUCUCUAGUGACUGGUCUUUGUGAUUCCGGUAGAUGGAGCGAUGCCGCCUGGCUCCUGAGAGACAUGAUGAAGAGGAAAAUAGAUCCUAGUGCGAUCACUUUCACUACAUUGAUCGAUGCGUUUGUGAAAGCUGGGAAGCUUUUGGAGGCUAAAGAACUGUACAAGGUGAUGAUCAGUAUGUCUAUAGAUCCUAAUGUUUUCACUUACAACUCACUGAUCAAGGGGUUUUGCAUGCACGGUCGGCUAAGUGAAGCUAUGCAAAUGUUUCAUCUGAUGGAAAGCAAGGGAUGGAAAGCAAAUAUAGUGACUUAUACUACUCUCAUACAUGGAUUUUGCAAGUCUAAGAGAGUAGAUGAUGGGGUGAGAAUCUUUUACAAAAUGUCCCAAAGAGGAUUACUUGCCAACACAAUCACUUACACCGCGCUUAUUCAGGGUUAUUGUCUAGUGGGAAAACCAAAUGUUGCUCAAAAACUGUUCAAUCAGAUGGGUUAUCAUGGUGCGCCACCUCCCGAUAUUAGGACCUACAACGUUCUGCUAGAUGGUCUAUGUUGUAACGGGCACGUAGAGAAAGCAAUGAUGAUGUUCGAAUACAUGCGGAAGAGAGAAAUGGAUGUUAGUAUUGUUACAUAUACUAUCAUUAUUCAAGGGAUGUGCAAGGCUGGUAAGGUGGAAGAUGCUUUUGAUUUAUUUUGUAGCCUUUUCUCCAAAGGGAUGAAGCCGAAUGUUGUAACAUACACUACAAUGAUAUCGGGAUUUUGUAGGCGUGGCCUAAUUCAUGAAGCUGAUGCGCUGUUUAAGAAAAUGAUAAAAGAUGGGUUCUCACCAAAUGAACGUGUGUCUAAGUAGGUGAUACCGCGAGCUGAAACUCAUGAGGAGUUAAGUGUUACUCUGAUGCUUUUGGUCUCACGCAUAUGAUGGUGUAGUUGCAGUUUGGGGAGAGGACACACAGGUGCAGUUAAGUUUUGACAUACCUCGUCAGCUGCAUAGGUUCUGUAGUGAUUCAAUUCCAAGGAGAUGUCAUCUUGACAGAGGUAUUUGUCGUUGAAGGCUUUUUCUAUCGUCAAGAUUCCGCAUGGAAGCAGAGUUGUACAUUUGGAGUAUUGAAGUCGAAUAGUAUUGUUAAGAAAGCUAAUCAGUGUAUAGAUAGGUUGUGGUGAAAGGUAUAUAGGAUCCCUGUAAAGAUUGGUCAAAACUCA